UUAAAUUAGCAAUACAAUAAACACCUGUCAGUCUUUGGGCGCUGCUUUGUGCUGUUUAUCAGAUGAUGUUAGCCGUUACUUGCGUUUAAAACUAACGUAUUUAAAUUAACAAAGCUGCUUUUGUUAGCUGACAUGCUUAUUUAAAGGUCCAAACAUCGUACGGGGUGAUGUUAUUAAGCUAGCUCCCUAAAAGGACGUUUAUAUAUUGACGAAAGCUCGCGGCUAGCUUUGCUACUGAAUGGAGCAUGCUGUCUGUUUAUCGACUCUAAAAUGUGGUCACAACGCGAGUAAGCUGUUUUAUUCUUACCUUAAGAAACGCAGACCGACUUGCUGAAGUGUUUCAUUCAGUCUGAGGCAGCUACAGUAACUACAUGUACCGCUGCUGUGAAAAAAAAAAAAAAAAAAAAAAAACAGGAAAAGGGGAGGAAAUUACGCAUUUGGCCUAGUUUUUUAUGCACUGCAGUGUUUCAUCCGGGACACUAGAUGGCAGCAAAAACAUCACGUGGUAGGAUGAACUCCAUCUUUACUGGGGGCAAAUGUGUAGUUUUGAUUUAAAUUGAGUAUUUAUGACAUAUAUUCAACAAAAACAUGAACACAGCAACAAAGUGGUCUAAUUUAUGACUUACAGAAAAGGUUAGAAGGUUUUUAAAAAGCGUUAAAUUUAGCCAUAUUAUACAACAAACAUUUUUGAGCUGAUCAUAGGAGCUUCAGUAGAAAUCAGCUGGACUUCUCUUGUAGGUUGUUGAAGAUGUUUCACCUCUCAUCCAAGGGGCUUCUUCAGUUCUAACUCACUGAUAGGGAGUUGCAGAAUGGUCCGUGUAUAUUUUGGGAAUUGGAUUUUCCGUUCUGAAAUGGGUAUUGAAAAACAAAAAACGAGUGGUUAUUUGAUUUUCGUUUUAAAAUACAAAAAUUAAAAUUGAAAUACAAGGCGUUUUUCCUUUUCAUGAUCAAAAAGGGAUAUACGAAAUUUUAAAAAUGCUUUGAUUUUCAUUUUAUAUUUAGAAUAACAAAAAAAAUAAAAUCAGUAAGAGACAGAAACGAAAAAAGGACCGUUUUUCAUUUUCUGAGACCGGAAGGUGGUCAUCAGCAAGUGUGGAGCCAAACGACAACGAUUCUCAGAGGGUGGAGCCAGAGAGCAGUCAUUGGUCAGACCAUAGAUAAUAUAGAAGACAGCGUGCUAGCGUAUCUAGUCUAUGUGUAUCUAUGGUCAGCACGUCUGGUAGCUAGUGACGGCGAGAUGAAGCUUCAUGAAGCAUUGAGGCUUUCCAUCCAAUUGGUUCACUCAUGGUUCGAAGCUUCAUGGUGCUUCAUUUGCUCUACUGCGCCAUCAACUGGACAAAUAAAAGUAAAACAGGCAGAGUGCCUAUAAUGACACACUAGCUUUGCCAUGUGAAGCUUUGAAUUGUGCUUAAAUGAUAAUGCCAAUAAACAAGUAAUAUACUUAAUAUAGUGUCUGCUUUUCCUGAUAGCAGGGACAGAGGGGGAAAUGGAAACAAAUUGGGGAGAGAUUUGAGAUUUGUAGCUUGACUACUUGAUUGAUGUCAGGUUCUGGCUUUCUGUAAAGUGCUUAGAUAUUUUUAAUUGUAAUAAGAAUAAAAUUAAUGAAAAUUAAAAUAAAAAUAUCAAAUUUUCCACAGUGCUGGGAUUCAGGUGGGUUCUUUUUUGGACAAUAUUUCUCUAGCUCCUUGGAACACAAGAGACACUUCUUUUAAAAUCCCAGAAAAAGAAGAAAUUAGAACAAGCGGUGUGUGGUGUUGUCACAGUUAUUCUAUUCAUAUUACACCACACUUACACCUUACUUUAUUAGGAGAAAUCAGGUCAAAGUGUUCCCAGACAGGGGAGAAUCUUCUCUUUCUGGCUGGUUCUAUAAAAAAAGAAACUCAAACCGAUUGAAUGCAAAGAUACAGCAGGUAAAAAUCCAACAAAUGUGAACGGGGAAUCCAUUGUGUUUCGCUGCACCUUAUAUUAUGAAUCGCACGUCAAACCUGCGAACCACUUCCUGAACCAGUCACGCGGUAUGACCGGCAUGCGAGGCUUCGAACGUCAUCAUUUUUGGCUCCUCCCCUAAACGAAGCAAGCCUCCAUACGCGCUUCGUGGACACGCCCCCCCGUUACUCGGCACACGCUUCGAAGCCUCGGCACACCUCGUAACGGCACUACUGAUAGCAUCUCUGGCUGCUGUUGACCUUGUUUUUGGAGUAAAACACGGUGGAAGCUGAAUUAGUGAGGAUGACUCCUGCUCCUGUCAUCUCUAAGCUCCUCACACAUCUUUACCUGCAUAUGAGGAAAAUCACUCCUGUAGAAUGCAGAUGUUCAGAGGGAGAUGAUGCCACAUCUGGUCCAGCUGAUGGAAGGUCUUGAAGUUCUCUGACUGGCCUCGACUGAAGAUGGUCGUCUCUCUGGAUUUAAGGUUCAGAUGCUCAGUAACAAACUCCACCAAUGUGCCAACAGAGAAGCUUUAGGUUUAUUAAAUGUUGCUAUGAAGGUAACGCUGUUUUUCUUUGUGAAUGCAAUGUACUGAAACUUGAAUUAGAACUUAGAAGUAAAUCCUUCCAUCUGAAAGGAUUUAGUUGCAUUAAUAACCUCAUAACAUUCUAAUUUUUAUUUCAGUCUUGGUUGGAAAUAGAAUCUCUGUAUUGAUUCAGGUAAAAACUGAACUUCACAGCAUGUUGGAGCAAAACAACCAGAUGAAAACUGUGAUGGUGUUGGAUUGUCAGACCAUAAUGUUGCAGCUCAAAGCAGCUUUUCUAUCUCAGUUCAUUCUGACAUUCAGCUAUGAAUCAACGCAGCAGAUGGUGAUCCAUGCUGUGGAAGUCUCACAUCUCCUGAUUUAAUGGAGCUGCUUUGCACUUUUUACACUGUUUAUUCACCAACACUUUAUUUAAUAAAAGUCCCAUCUAGUUUUCAUGAGGAAUGUGAUGUUUUAAUUUCUCUGUGAAUAACUGCAGUCUAAUGCAACAGCUGGAGUUGUAACAUCUGUCCUGAUAUUAAUCAUGAAGUAUUGAUCAGAAUACUUAUGGUCAGCAGACAUCCCUGAAGUUUUACAUUAAAAUCUUUACUUGAUGGCUUUGGUAAGAAGCAGAAACUUUAGCGUUGCCAUGGAUACAUGAGUGUUAAAUUCUGUCCAUGUUUCCAUUUUGGGAAAUUCAGUCUAGCAGAUGAGUUUGUUUUUACUUCCAGCUACCAUUCAGUCUGAGAUAUUAAGAGUAAAUAAAUGUGCAUAAUGUGGAAAUGAACAUAUUUUAGUUUUAUUUAUUCCUACAGCUGCUGCAGGUAAAGUUAUAGGAUGUGGAGGAAUUUAGUCUCACAAUCACAGACAACAAAUAUUAUCUGAAAGUCAGGUUAUUGUUUAUCAGCACAAUACAAAAAGAUUAAUGUUAGAAAUAUUCCAGUUAAGACUCUAGAAUAUUAUGAUUUAUAUAAAUUUACCUCAAUAAUAUGAAUGUUCAGGUUAAGAUUGUGCAGUGAUAUUUAUUAUGUCAGUUUAGCUGAUUAAUGUUUAUGACUCUUCACUACAAUAUUAUUUAAAUUUACAUCAUUAUUAUAAUAUUUAGGGUCAGACUCUACAGUAUUGAGAUUAAGAAAUCAAAUAUUCUAUAAAAUGUAAAUACACUGAACUCAUUUGGAUAUAUUUAAGUGAGACUCUACAAUAUUAUUUGACACAAAUCUAUAUAAAUCAAAAUUUUAAUCAUUUUUACUCCAAACAUUUACUGGACUGAUUUAAACAUUAAAAUCACUCCUUUCUAAUCCUCUGCUGUAUGUUCAAACCUGAGGCCUUAAAUAGAGAAACACACAAGUAUCUGUUUGAAGGAACUUCUGCAGAAUCCUGGUUCCAGAACAUGAUGAUAGAAUUAUUGCCAAACUUUAACAAAAGCUGCCUGAGAGUCGACAGGUUUUUAUGUCAGAUUUCUUCAGUAAUUUAAUGAGCGUUAUCAGCAAAAAUCAAGUGUUCAGUUGAUGAACUUCAUUUCCUAAAACAUCCAGAAUUGGAGCUCAUAUCUUUGGCAGCUGUAAAGUUUCUGCUCCUUCAAAGUUCACAACACAAUGAAUGAAUUCCUAAAACACUCUAGAUGCUGGAGAGCGUUUGAUGCUGAAGCAGUGAUCAGUUUUUCUGUUUCUUCUCUGGAGAUGCACAAUGAGGGACGUCUGCAGCGACUGAGAAAGAGUCUCACCACAUCCUGACAUGAGGAAAAAGACUUUAUUGAAGACUACAAUGAGAAAAACUAACCCUCUGGAAACCAGCGUUUGGACUGUUUUUGUGUUGCUCCUCACCUACUUCAGACAGCCGGGACAAAACAACGUUUUGUAGACCAAAGGCUAUACUAGGACAUUUUUUGGACGACAGGCUAUACUAUGACAUUUUUAGAGCGACAUGCUAUACUAUGAUGUUUUUUUGGACGACAUGCUAUACUAUGACGUUUUUUAAGCGACAUGCUAUACUAUGAUGUUUUUUGGACGACAUGCUAUACUAUGACAUUUUUAGAGCUACAUGCUAUUGUAACAGAUUGUCAUACAUGACAUUGUAUUUCACUAAAAUCCUCCAUUAGUUGUGGUUUAUGUAUUCUCGUGCCUGUCUCUUUAAGAGCCUGUGUGCGUGUCCCCGCGGCAAUGUGCACCGAGCAUGUACUCUGGCCAGAGCUGUAAAUCUGCAUGGCCAGAGGUGAGUCACAGUUUGAGCACGCUCCCCUGACAGAAGUUUUUAUAAGUUAUUAUUUGUGUCUUAAGUGUAGUGUUAAGCGUUGUGCGUGAUUUUGUCUAGUGUGAAGAUAAUUUUAAGUCAUUUUCGUGAAGUUCUGUUGCCGAAAUAUGUGUUUUUAUUGCAAGGGUGGGUGUAAAGCUAACUGCUAGGCUAGCGCUAGCAGUUAGCCUCUCUUGCCAGUCUGAAUGUGUGCAUGAGUUUUUUUUGUCAGAGAGAGAGAGGAGAAUUGCCGCUGAAAGCACACCAGCUCAUGUGUGAUUGAUUUCGUUGAAACAGGUACGAGAAUAGCUAUGUUACUUGUUUUGUUCUGUAAUUAGUUUUCUGGAUGCUUUAAAAAUAUUACAUUUAUUUGAAGGUAUUUUCCUAAGGAUUAUAUUUGCAUUAACAUUUAUUUGUUUUGAUUUAUUCUGAUCGAUAUGUUUUAUAAUUGCUUCUUUUGUAAGACAUUGGUUAUUUUUUUUAUAUUUUUGUACAUGUAUAUUUUAUAUGAGAGCUGUAAUCUGCAUGGCCAGAGAGAGAGAGAGAGGAGAAUUGCCGCUGAAAGCACACCAGCUCAUGUGUGAUUGAUUUCGUUGAAACAGACAUUAAAAGUGAUCCAGACUCAGA